rnacentral:rRNA from 1 species
UUAUAUUGGAGGGCAAGUCUGGUGCCAGCAGCCGCGGUAAUUCCAGCUCCAAUAGCGUAUAUUAAAGUUGUUGCGGUUAAAAAGCUCGUAGUUGGAUCUCAGCUCACGCUAAGUGGUCCACUUAAUGGUGGUUACUACUUAGCUGAGCAUUUUACAGAUUUGUCUCUUGAUGCUCUUCACCGAGUGUCAAGAGUGGUCUGUACGUUUACUUUGAAAAAAUUAGAGUGCUUAAAGCAGGCAACUCGCCCGAAUAAUCUUGCAUGGAAUAAUGGAAUAGGACCUUGGUUCUAUUUUGUUGGUCUCCGGAAUCUGAGGUAAUGAUUAAGAGGGACAGACGGGGGCAUUCGUAUUGCGCCGCUAGAGGUGAAAUUCUUGGACCGGCGCAAGACGAACUACAGCGAAAGCAUUGCCAAGAAUGUUUUCAUUAAUCAAGAACGAAAGUUAGAGGUUCGAAGGCGAUCAGAUACCGCCCUAGUUCUAACCAUAAACGAUGCCAACA